rnacentral:rRNA from 1 species
AUUGAACGCUGGCGGCAUGCCUUACACAUGCAAGUCGAACGGCAGCAUGAUCUAGCUUGCUAGAUUGAUGGCGAGUGGCGAACGGGUGAGUAAUACAUCGGAACGUGCACUGUAGUGGGGGAUAACUAGUCGAGAGAUUAGCUAAUACCGCAUACGACCUGAGGGUGAAAGUGGGGGACCGCAAGGCCUCAUGCUAUAGGAGCGGCCGAUGUCUGAUUAGCUAGUUGGUGAGGUAAAGGCUCACCAAGGCGACGAUCAGUAGCUGGUCUGAGAGGACUAUCAGCCACACUGGGACAGAGACACGGCCCAGACUACUACGGGAGGCAGCAGUGGGGAAUUUUGGACAAUGGGUGCAACCCUGAUCCAGCAAUGCCGCGUGUGUGAAGAAGGCCUUCGGGUUGUAAAGCACUUUUGUCCGGAAAGAAAUCGCACUUACUAAUAUUAGGUGUGGAUGACGGUACCGGAAGAAUAAGGACCGGCUAACUACGUGCCAGCCGCCGCAGUAAUAC